GGACGCUUCCCGGCCUGCCGCGCUCCGAUGGGCGGGGGCCUCAUGGAGCUCCGGCUCUUAACGCUUCGCCGUUUGUCUACAAAGUCCUCCUUGUCAGUUAGUGCAAUUAAAGCUUGUUAAUUGCUACAGCUUAUUAUUCCCUCUGAUUUUAAUAUGUCCCUGAACAUCCGUGUGAUGGCCCUGAAAGGAUCCUUCCCCAGGACCACCUGCAGAGCCAAGCCAGGCAUUGCAGCUCUACGCAAAGAAGCCGGCAAAUGCAGCUCAAGAAGCAGAGAAGUGCUGGGAGCUGCAGCGCUGAAGACGGCAAUACACGUGAACAUGGGAAAGAAGCUGGUUUCAGAGGAGCUGAUCCAACUGGCCGGGAAUGUUUGUCAUUGCUAUAACAACCCUAACCAUCAGAGGUCGCUGCUGAACACCAAAUCUGUACUGCUACCUGCGAAAUGCAAGUAUUCUACAGAUACUCAUUGAGGAAUCUGUAUGAUAUUAAUUACUGUGUCUGUGUGGUAAGCACACUGAACACUAACAAGCCUAGAUAAUAACAAACGUUGUUUUAUGUCUUGCAGGUGUUUACAUGUUGCUAUUGAAUUGUUUGUACUCUAAUUAGUUUGUACUUCUAAAUUAGAAGACGGUUGUGAGAUUGGAGUUUUAAACUGGGAUCUCAUUUUCACAGGCAAACAGCUCUUCUUGCAAUGUUUUUGGAGACUGAAAAGCACUUUAAAGAUAUGUCAGGAGUUGGAUGCUGUUUCUCUGUCACUGAGUGAGUGUGUAUUAUGGUAUUGCUGAAUCUUCAGUUCUUGAAUAAGCUCUCUACCAAUGCAUUUGCAGUAGAGCCUUAAGCUGUCUUUAAUUCAUAGUUCUUCUGUUUUCUCUCAGGAAAUUCAUCAGAACCUGUUCUAAUAUUUGUCAGAUAGAAAACAUAAAUGCUAAUUGUUACAGAAAACAUCUUGUACGUAGUCAGAAAGCCCAUGUGACACUAUCAUCUCUCUGCUGUGUUUAUUUCCUUCCAGUGUUCAUUCUGGCCUAGAUACUGCUCUUACUCAUCUAUGCAAAAGAGCCAGAUUCUAUCAGAAAUGUUAAUCAGACAUUCCAGAUAGCUGACUUUCAGAAACCAGCCUUGUACUCUGAAGAAUGUGCAUGAUAGAGGGUUGAACUGGAUUGCAAAAUGCACCAAGAAUUGCUGGUAGAUCGCUUCUAUCAGUAGUUUAACUGAAGCAGAAAAUGAAACACCAGAUAGUGUGCUGUUAAUAUUACAUUUCAAACUGAAAUAACUAGAUGAUUUUGAGGACUGUAAUAAGAGAAAUCAAUACUGUAUAACUAACAAUAUGAGCCUCUGCUGUGGUGUGGAAGUUCAUUAGCUGAAAAUAAGUGAGAAGCUGAAAAGAACUGUGUGUACCUGUUGGUCACAGGAUGACAGUGAAUCAUGAAUGUACUAUUGCAAUGAGAAAGGUGAGCAUGACCAUGGAAUGCAUCAGGAAAUAAUCAGAGUAGAGAGGGGGAAACAAUAAUGCUGUUUUAUGAGGUUCUUGUAAGCCUUUUCUGGAAUGCAUUGUGCUGUGUGGAGGUAAUCAUAUUCAAGAAAGAAAUCUGAAACAAGGGCAAGGAAUAGCUUAGAUCUGAAAUCAUAUUGCAUGUGUUCAUCGCUUGACAAAGCACUUGGUGGUACGUGGGACAGGCAGGUUAUGUCCAUACUGAUUUGUACAGCACAACCGUCUGUCCUAAUAGAUGUUUCCCUACCAUUUGUGCUGCUGCGUGUAUCAGCACUUCCAGCAAUGACUUCCCUGCCUUGUACAUUCCAGAAUGGUUUGCCUCACACACUGUGGAGGCUCUGGCCUGGUGCAGAGACUCAGUUUCAGCUUUGCAAAGUUGUCAAGACACAAUACCUGCUCCUGCUGCCCUUCCCAUUGCUGAAGGAGAUGGGAGUUUGAAGGAACAAGGUUGGAAUCAUUCACAGCCUAAGCGGUAAGACAAGACAGUACAUAGCAGGAUGCCUAGAGCAUGACAGGGAAUAAAAUGCCAUAUUUCUCUUCAGAGGCAUUUGUUCUGUAUCCAUCUGUGUCCUGUGCCAUUUACUUCAUGUAAAGACAUUUUGACUGAGAGACUGAGCUUCUCAUUUGUUCUUAUCCAUUUGUUUUAUUCCUUAAGACUUGUUAUGAAUAGAAAUGGAUCUACAUCUGGUACCAGUAAGGAGAAUUUUCUAGAAGAGAGCUAGAAUCCCAGCAAAGUGUGAGUGAUGUUGCUCAAGAAUGAUCUCUCGUCCAACCCAGCUGUGUAACUUUGCCCCACGCCAGGAAGGAAGGAGCAGAUACUCCCUGCUUUGUCUUGGUAUCCAUAACAUUCCUGGGAAUGCUGGGAAGUGUAAAACGCGUGAAAUCAAAAAGCUGCUGAAAUGCAGAUAAAAGUUUGAAAUGACAUUUCACAGGGAAGAGUGAAUUUGUAACAAGGACUCUUCUGAAGUAGGUGUUGUGAAGAGUGAUAAACCUUCUGGAUUGUCCUUUUUUGUGCAUAGAGAGUUCAGUGAUGUGAUCAGAUGUACAGGCCUAAGAAAAUAAACUUGCCAAUUAUUACAGGGCUUUUUUCCUAGGAUCACAGGAAGGAAGAGGACAGUGGAGUGGAUUGAUAAGUUGGUCAUCUUACUCCGACAGCACACAUGAAAGACCAUUUCAUGCUGCAAAAGACUGCAAGUAAUCGGAGACCCUUUUUCCUAAUAAUCUUGGGUACAGCUAUGGACCUACUCCAAAUAUCUUCUGUCCUUGGCAUGAAGCGCUGCUGCCAGCAAUUCCAGGCUCCUGGACAGAAUGCCUACAGAAAAUUAGCUGAUAAAGGACAACAAAUGAGUCAACAGCAGCUGUAAGGUUGGAACUCUGAGUUUUCGCUUCCCGGUUUUGUUCUAAAUCAUAAAUUAUCUUGUAGCAGCCAAAAGGAAGGAGGUCAGAAACAAUUCAAUUACAUUCAGGCUUCUCGUAUUCAAUUCUCUGCUUUCUAAAAUCUAUUAGUUUAAAUCUGCUGAAAGACAGAAACAAUCUGAUUUAUAAUGUAGAAAUGCAAACUGAAAAUGAAAUACAAGUAUUAAUAUGCACCAAAAGGAACAGAUGGUGAGGCUGUUAUUUAAAAAAUGAGAUUAGAAGGUUCAUUCUUAAGCCAGUCCCA